rnacentral:rRNA from 1 species
AGAGUUUGAUCAUGGCUCAGCCUGAACGCUGGCGGCGUGGUUAAGACAUGCAAGUCGCACGGGAGCAGCAAUGCUCUAGUGGCGCAAGGGUGAGUAAUGUAUCGCUAACGUACCCUGGACACUGGGAUAGCUGCCCGAAAGGGCAGGUAAUACCAGAUAAAAUAUCCAUCUCGCAUGAGUGUGGAUCUCAAAGGAGCAAUCCGGUCUGGGCGCGGGCGAUAUCGUAUCAGCUAGUUGGUGAGGUAACGGCUCACCAAGGCGACGACGCGUAGCCGGACUGAGAGGUCGGUCGGCCACAUCGGGACUGAGACACUGCCCGGACUCCUACGGGGGGCUGCAGUAACGAAUCUUCCCCAAUGGGCGCAAGCCUGAGGGAGCGACGCCGCGUGGAGGACGAAGUCCUUCGGGAUGUAAACUCCUGUCAGGGGUUACCAAGAUACUGAGGAGCCCCAGAGGAAGAGGCGGCUAACUCUGUGCCAGCAGCCGCGGUAAGACAGAGGCCUCAAGCGUUAGGCGGAAUCACUGGGCUUAAAGCGUGUGUAGGCGGAUCGUUAAGUGCCUUGUGAAAUCCCACGGCUUAACUGUGGAACGGCUGGGCAUACUGGCGGUCUUGAGCCAUCUAGGGGCGACUGGAACAAACGGUGGAGCGGUGAAAUGCGUAGAUAUCGUUUGGAACGCCAAUGGUGAAAACAGGUCGCUGGGGAUGAGCUGACGCUGAGACACGAAAGCCAGGGGAGCAAACGGGAUUAGAUACCCUAGUAGUCC